CGCAAGACCCUUCCCACUUUCUCAGUUCUCUCCCUUUCCUCCUCCAAUCUGUUCGUACGGUCUUGGCCUCUCGUCUCUCUCUUGAUUAUUCUGGAUAGUUCGCUCAAAUCUCAUUAUGCAAUCGCUUCCCUUCUCAGCUUAUAUCUACCCAUUUAGCAUAGAAAAAAUGGUUUCCACCUCGGGUUAUAUUUAUCUUUCCGUGAACGAUCCCUCCUUAACAACAUUCAUCUGAGAAUCGAUAACAAUUCUACUCAAAUCUACAAAACAUACACUGUAACGCACGAAUCCGUGACAGGAAAAGCCAACUACACCGGUGUGUAGUAUUACAAAGCAAAGAUGGUCCGAAUAAAAGUCAGAUUACACUCAGAUUUGCUAAAGUUUUCAACUAUGGAAUAGGGAUGGUUGUUUCUAUAAUUCAAGUUAUGCACCGUAAUAGAUAUAAAGAUAUCAAAGGCUAUCGUUGGUUAGUCAUUAUCAAGGCAUGAGCACCCACACGAACGCCACUGUUUGCUUGGAUUGUGGGUUAUGCAUCUGGAUGAGUGGAGUUCUUCUUCCCUACUUUUGCUGUGGAUUAUUUUAUUUAGUAAUAGCUUUAUUUGUUUUUAAUUAAGAAAUUAGUUAGAGUUGUUAGAAUUUAGUCUAUUUUGGACCAUGUGAUAUCUAAAUGUGUGGAUGGUAUGCAUUGGUGAAUGAAGACAAAGACAACAGCGCAUGAAGCUUUCAAAGAGACAAAGUGUUGUGGCUGUGAUUUAAUUUGAACAAAAUAAAAGGCUACAUUUAGGGGUCGUUUGGUUCACGGAAUGUCAGAUUACCUUAGGGAAUGUUAGA